ACGUCGGUACGUACGUCGUACUUACUAGACGGGAGUAACACUUAGAAAUAGGUGCUAAUACCGCAUAAGCGCACGGGGCUGCAUGGCCCAGUGUGUAAAAACUCCGGUGGUAUAAGAUGGACCCGCGUCUGAUUAGCUUGUUGGCGGGGUAACGGCCCACCAAGGCGACGAUCAGUAGCCGGCCUGAGAGGGUGGACGGCCACAUUGGGACUGAGACACGGCCCAAACUCCUACGGAAGGCAGCAG
rnacentral:rRNA from 1 species